rnacentral:tRNA from 1 species
UGAGGGAGCCACGGAGUUUAACCGUGGGUGUAAGUAUUAGCAGUGCUUAUUGCCUCUGGCCUCUCUC